GUUGAACGCUGGCGGCGUGCCUAAUACAUGCAAGUCGAGCGAACAGACGAGGAGCUUGCUCCUCUGACGUUAGCGGCGGACGGGUGAGAAACACGUGGAUAACCUACCUAUAAGACUGGGAUAACUUCGGGAAACCGGAGCUAAUACCGGAUAAUAUAUUGAACCGCAUGGUUCAAUGGUGAAAGACGGUUUUGCUGUCACUUAUAGAUGGAUCCGCGCCGCAUUAGCUAGUUGGUAAGGUAACGGCUUACCACGGCGACGAUGCGUAGCCGACCUGAGAGGGGGAUCGGCCACACUGGAACUGAGACACGGUCCAGACUCCUACGGGAGGCAGCAGUAGGGAAUCUUCCGCAAUGGGCGAAAGCCUGACGGAGCAACGCCGCGUGAGUGAUGAAGGUCUUCGGAUCGUAAAACUCUGUUAUUAGGGAAGAACAAAUGUGGAAGUAACUAUGCACGUCUUGACGGUACCGAAUCAGAAAGCCACGGCUAACUACGUG
rnacentral:rRNA from 1 species